GCACUCCACAAGGAGACAGCCUGUUACGCGAAUGCAGUAAGCCAAGUGCUUUCCCCUCAGCCACCACAGCAUCCGUCUCCCUGUCGUCCCCAUGCACCCGAGACGCACACCAGGAAGGAAAGGGAAGUGGACACGUCGUUUGCAUAGCUGGUUCCUGUUGGCGGUGAGGGAGAGGUUGAGCAAUCCCCUGGGCCAUUGCGUAAGCUGGGCCCCCUUCACUUUCAGAUGGAGCAGAGCGGGACUGACUGCUAUCAUGCCGUAACGGGUUGCAAUCAGUGUGCAAUGAUGACCAACACUUAGGCAUCACCUCUCCACACACAUAGUCUGCUUGCGUGUUUCAAGCGGCACCACAGGAGUCAACAGCAAUGGAAAAUGCAGUUCUAUUCAUAGAUUGCAUGAGAGUUGCAGGAGGUGAGAGUGUAUGUUGGAUCAUGAGUUUUCAGUGCCAGGUGCUGAAGAGGAAAAGGAUUGACUGGAAACGUUAUGCUUUUUUUUGACUGGAAACGCAUAACAUAUUCAUGAACUAUGUGUAAUAUAUUCAUAAAUGCUACAUAGUGUAAAUGCAUAUAGUAGUUAUGCAUCCAUCAGUAGGGAUGUCACUGUCAUUGUCUGUUAACCUGUGGUUGUUGAAAUAACAUGACCUAAAAUGAGCAUUUAUUAAUGUUUAGUACCAACAGACACAAUAAAAUACAUUGACAUCUGUCAUCCAUAUAUUGACUCAAUUAAUUAUGGAGAUCUAGUUUGUAGACUCCCAAGUUUAACAGGUUUGAUUGGGCGCCAACCGUACAGUAACACCCACAGGAAAAAACAACAACACCCCUCCUCCCCCCAGAAAUUCACCCCCUGCGAAAGGGAAGUGCUUAUCUGGUGUUCACAGCCUCGUUGGGAACUCUUUGGUUUGGUUUGCACUAAAAACAAUUUAAAAAAGGAAGUGCUGAGAGGUAAAUCUUUUUCUGUGAAGGGAGUGUCUGAUAACAUUGGUAUUCCCCUACAUACACACACACACGCACGAGCAACACACACACGCACACACUCUCUCUCUGAGAGAGCUAAUUGUGGAAGGGCAAUGUCGUAGCAAGUUCUUCUUGCUGGAAAAAGUGACAGGCCCGGGAAAGGGGGGCGUAGGUACGCUACAAACGGCUGAGAAGUGGUCAGAAAGCAUUACUCAUUACCAGAAACAGAAAGUCAUAUUGGGCGAACAGAUAGCCCAGCAUUUUUCCCUCUCAAGGGCAUUUCCAUGUUUUUUUGCUGACCUUUAUGUCUUUACGUAGACAUAAUAUAUGAUAUUGGUGUACUUUUAGAGACAUUUGAAUCUACUCUUUUAAUACAGUCAUAAUAUCCUAUAAUUGCUAUAUGCAUCCAGAUGUAUUUCAAUACCAACGACAUGUAACUUUUGUUGCUCUUGUUUUGACUCCAAGCUUUUGUUGGCAUGGUUGUGUUCUGCUGUGGAUCUGGUUGUAAGAUGACUGUCUGCAAAUAUUUUUGUGUAUGUGAGUCUUUCUGUGAACUAGGGUGCCAGUGAUUUCCUACACUGGACAACUUGUUGCAUCUGUUGAUAUGUCAUUGAUAGUAAUCUGCCAUUUUCUUUAUGUCAUUAAACUAAGAUGUAAGGGGGAUCAUAGCUAUAUUCAAUCAAAUGUACAAGUUGAUGUAAAACCUGUGUUUAACACUUUAUCAUGGUUGGUGUCUUGACAGAUUUGUCUAAAAUCGUGUGGCAUAAACAAAUUCUGUCCAUGCAUUUAUGGCAAUGUAAGUUGUCGUUGUGUAAUAUAUUAAGCAUUAAUCAGUUAAAAUAGACAUUGAACUUGAACCCUAUAAGAAUCCUGUAUCUAGCUGUCGGACAGUUUUUGGUAUAGAGCUCAGUGUCACGCCCUGACCUGAGAUAUCUCUGUUUUCUUUAUAUUUUGGUUAGGUCAGGGUGUGACUAGGGUGGGUAUGCUAGUUUUGAAUUGUCUAGGAUUUUUGUAUUGUCUAGGUUUCUUUUUUAUGUCUAGGGUUUUCUAGGUCUAGGGGUUUUUGUAAUUCUAUGUUGGCCUGAUAUGGUUCCCAAUCAGAGACAGCUGUUUAUCGUUGUCUCUGAUUGGGGAUCAUAUUUAGGUAGCCAUUUCCCCUUGGUGUUUGUGGGAUCUUGUCUAUGUGUAGUUGCCUGUCAGCACUCGUUUGUAUAGCGUCAUGUUUCGGUUUGUUAGUUUGGUCAGUGUUCAUUCUUUUAAUAAAUAAGAAUGUACGCAUACCACGCUGCGCCUUGGUCCGAUCUUUAUAACGAACG